CCUAGCCCAGUACAAGGCAUAUGGUACUCAAGAGACUUAGAAAUCCCUAAGUCUCUGAGUACCAUAUGCCUUGUACUGGGCUAGG
ensembl:miRNA MIR3921 microRNA 3921